AAAUGCGAUAAGUAAUGUGAAUUGCAGAAUUCAGUGAAUCAUCUAAUCUUUGAACGCACCUUGCGCUCCUUGGUAUUCCUUGGAGCAUGCCUGUUUGAGUAUCAUGAAAUCUUCAAAGUAAAUCUUUUGUUAACUCAAUUGGUUUCUACUUUGGUAUUGGAGGUCUUUGCAGCUUCACACCUGCUCCUCUUUGUUCAUUAGCUGGAUCUCAGUGUUAUGCUUGGUUCCACUCGGCGUGAUAAGUUAUCUAUCGCUGAGGACACUGUAAAAGGUGGCCAAGGUAAAUGCAGAUGAACCGCUUCUAAUAGUCCAUUGACUUGGACAAUACUUUUAUGAUCUGAUCUCAAAUCAGGUAGGACUACCCGCUGAACUUAAGC
rnacentral:misc_RNA from 1 species